rnacentral:lncRNA from 1 species
UAUAAUUUUCGGGAUAUUACUGUCCCCAGCUGGGGAAUGUGCAUAGCUACUUAAUUUUUUCUUUCGUUUUUUCACCUGAUUGAUUUUGCUUUUAUCUUUCAGGAGGGUGUACCCAUGCGGAAUGAACAAGUGGAUGUUAUCAGUAGUGUAAUGAACGUAAUUGAGGUGGAGCUCUACAUGUUUCUUGGAAUUCUAGUUUAUAGCUCUGAUUCAAGGUCAUUCCAGAGAAUGAUGUACUGUGAGCUGGAACAUUUUGCUCGCAAACUGUUUCAUGUCCUAUUCAACUGCUGCCAAAACGGGCUUGUCGGGGUGCACCAAAUUGCGCAGGCUUUUAUCGCCUCGGUGAUGAGCAGUUCAACCAUGUCUAUCUCUCAAAUCAUGAAAAUGUGGAUUGUUCACGCAACAGUGUCUUUCUUGCGUGCAAACCUAAUCAUCAACCCUGAGCGGUCAGACUUGUUUGUCGCCCAGCAAAUAUCAGAGGAAGGAGCCAGUGGAAGUAGCAGUAGCAGUAGCAGUAAUGGUAUUUCCUCUUCAAACAGGAGCGCUGAAAGUUCCUCAGAGACGCCUAUGGCGGUGCCCACAGUAAGUGCUCCAGAUUUUGCAGUUUUUUCUUUUAUUUUAAACAGGAUUGCCACCGUCAGGGUAUACCGGAGUACCGGGAAAACCAGGAAAUGUCAGGGAAUUUUAAAAAGUCAGGGAAAAUGAUAAAAAUGUCAGGAAAAAAUUGGUAAUUUGCCUUCAUUUGCUUUCUAGAGUGGGUCUGGCGUUGUUGAACAAC